UGAACAUUUUGCCAAACAUCUCCUUUUGUGAUCCAGAGAAGAAAGAGUCAGCAUGCAAACUAUAGAAGGUCUUCAGGAUGAGUUUAAAGCAGGCCAUCUACCUCUGUUUCCCGACUGUUGUUCUCCCGUAUCAUGCCAUCCGACAGCCCUUACAUCAAGCAGGAUUCCCUUGGCAGUGUAUCCUAUCAGCGUGCAGAACUAAUUGUGCCCCCCAGGAUAAAUCUCCAGCCUGCACUUCACACGGAGAUACUAAUGAUUCGCUCUUGUUUGUGACCAGAUAAGUGCACUAUUAGAAGAAAGUAUUAAUCUUGCGACUGGGGAGCGGAUAAGAUCUCUUCCGCCUCCCAGGGGAGACGUCUCAGCGUGGGCAUGUGCCAUUUUUCUCGAGCGUGUGUGGGAAGGAGCGAGUGGGAGGUGGAUGAGCCCCCAAAGGACUCCCGUGUAGCGGAGGUGACAGCUUUUUUUUCAUGUAUAAAACCUGAAAUUACCCAUCUGCUGUUUGCCCAAGACUCUCACACUCCUCUGUCAGAGCACCUGCUAAUCAAAAUCUGCAGUCGCAGCGAAAAGAUAAAGACCUGCUUGGCGCCCACUCCCAUAGCUGUCUCUCUUUCCAUUGUCCGUGAGCUUGCAGCUGCGUGCCUUCAUGCAAUAAUGAAAUGUUGCGAUGCAUGCAUUUUCAGCGUGUAGGUGUUGUGCAUUAAAUCUCAUAUUUAGAUGGCUGACAUAUGUGGACAUGGAGCUGUUUGGCACCCUAGAGCGAGGCGAUUAACCUUGCAUCUCUUCUAAUGUUAUCUCUGCAGGAGCGUGUGGGGCAUGCACAAUAUAGUGUGCAUUUAAACUUCAUCUGACUACAUCAAAUCCUGCAUGUAGGAAUCCAAAUAAAGAGUGGUUUGAGUUGUGCAA